GUCCUCAGAUCAGGCAAGACUACCCGCCGAAUUUAAGCAUAUUACUAAGCGGAGGAAAAGAAACUAACCAGGAUUCCCCUAGUAACGGCGAGCGAACCGGGAAAAGCCCAACUUGUAAAUCUGGCGGUAUUGCCGUCCGAAUUGUAGUCUAAAGAAGCGUAUUCUGUGGCGGACA
rnacentral:rRNA from 1 species